GAGAACGUUGGUGGUGGUGGUGGUGAAGGUGGUGGUGGUGGUAAAGGUGGCGGUGAAGGUGGUGGUGGUGGAGGAACUGCAAAGACUCUGGGGCAAAAAUCGGCCGGCGCGCUGCCCGCAAAGUCUCCAGUGCAAUUCCUAGUCGUGAGCAGCGCCCAGCGAUUGCCCAGGUAGUUGACACAGGUCAGGUCCAGCAGUCCAUCACCAUCGCAAUCGAGGACCCUUAGGACGUCCCCCAUUUCCGCAUUCACGCACCAACCGGCAGGUGGAGUGCAACCUGAACAUGCAGAAAAUAGAUAGGGCGAUCGCUGGAAUCGCAAUUCCUUACAUGCCUUAAGAGAAUGUACGAUGCAGGGAUAAAGGUUCAAAUGUGGGUCGAGGCACCCAUUUCUCGGGGACUGUAGCUUGGAUUGCCCCGCUUUUUAAUUGACUCUGUACCACGGUUAAUGAUUGCAUAGCCCGCUGACGGAUAUGUGUGCGCCUUCAGCCACUCUCACAGGUACCAUCAGGCGUACAUCUGAAAGGGCGUCUGAAGGUGGGUCGGUUAAUGAACGUCCAACCACAGCAAUUAUCCAAUGGUCGAUUGCGAGAGACUGGAAACUGUUAUACCACGGCUUGAGAAAUGUGUCAAUCGGCGGAUGCAGAUCCCGUGAUAUGCCCAGGUUACUACAAUUAUCCCCCCACUAGCAACAGAGGGCGAUCUCGACCUUAGGGUUGCUGUGUAAUAGGAGAGCUCGACAAUACUCCCUGGGCUCGACAACAUCCCCGAGCAAAAAUGCUGCAACUGAGAUUCGAACCUGGGACGAAACCGAGUCAUAUGUACGAUGCCAGUAAUUAAAGUACGACUUCAGGAAACCACAUAUGUGGAAAAUAUAAGGAAUUGUAACCAAGGUUCAUCGUCCUUGAUAAGACUUUCCUAAACCUUUUUUCGUUUGUAGGGAAGUCAAGAAACGUGCAGAGAAGGUAAUCGGUCAGCUAGCCACUGGCAGCAACUUAUAUGUGGCGACGGACGCGAGUGGGACGCUACCCUUAUCCCUGUGUGCAGAUGACAAAUACCCCUCCAACGAUGCGUAUUGUAUUUGCAGGCAACGUCAACCUUUCACUGCAUUUGAUAGCCCCAUGCAGCACACACGCAGUUGCACUGCGGUGCGUGGUCCGUGGCGACUGCAUGAGGAUACAUCAUCAAGAUGGCAGGUACCGUAUAAACCCCGUUGAAGAACAGGCCGCGGUGCAUGGGUACAGAACGGAGCUCACCUGUGAAUGUUGGUGAAGGUGGUGGUGAAGGCGGUGGUGGUGGUGGAACUGCAAAGACUCUGGGGCAAACAUUGGCCGGCGCACUGCCCGCAAAGUCUCCAGUGCAAUUCCUAGUUGUAAGCAGCGCAUAGCGGUUGCCCAGGUAGUUGACACAGGUCAGGUCCAGCCGUCCAUCGCCAUCGCAAUCGAGGACCCUAAAGACGUCCCCCAUAUCAGGGUUCACGCACCAACCGUCAGGCGGUGUGCAACCUGAACAUGCACACAGCCGAUGUGUUUGGAAGGAAAAAAGAGGUGUACGGCAGGUAGAGGUAGGAUUAGUUGAUUAGUCAAACAGCCACUUGCCGUUCAACUGGGCUCCACUGUUUAACCAGGUGAGUUUACAUAUCCUCGCCAACUGUAACUCCAACGGGUUUCGGUCAUCCCGUUGAAUUCAUAGCAGUGCGUGUGCAGGUUAAGUAACGAAACCCUCCCACUGCAUCCAACCUAAGCCCCCCAUGUAGUAGCCGGUACACAGUACGGCACUACAAGUACGCGUGAAGCGCUUGACCAGCAUCUUGGGAGGACUUUUCAGCGGCCAGCUACUACACCCGCCGCCUGAAUGAAUGAUUUUUACCACCUAUUAAUCGUGUCCUGGUAUAUUACACAGGAACCGUCCUCAACUCUUAUAAACCAGGACACGGUGUUUUAUAGAUUUAAACCAGUAUGCAUGCACGGCGGCAUGCCGCAUGCAGUUGCACGACAACACUACUUGACACAGUAUGUCCUCUCAGACAGGAUGAGUGCUCCGUAAAUAGUCCAUUCCUUAAAGCCCCGGCUUCGGGCACCAAGGCCGAGCUCACCUGUGAAUGUUGGUGAAGGUGGUGGUGAAGGCGGUGGUGGUGGUGGAACUGCAAAGACUCUGGGGCAAACAUCUGCCGGCGCACUGCCCCCAAAGUCUCCAUCACAAUUCGUAGUCGUGAGCAGCGCCCAGCGGUUGCCCAGCUUGUUGACACAGGUCAGGUCCAGCAGUCCAUCACCAUCGCAAUCGAGGACCCUUAGGACGUCCCCCAUAUCAGGGUUCACGCACCAACCAGAAGGUAUUUUGCAACCUGCCCAUGCAGCAAAUGUGUUCGUAGGGAGGUUAGGGAGCGUGCAAAGGGGUCAACCGGCCAGACACUUAUCAAUGAUUCAACUGUAUUUGUAACCAGACAGGCUUACCCACGGCAAUCGUAAACGAGAUGUAUUAAUUCACCGUGAACAGUGCCCAGCAAUCAUAGUCAAGCUUAUACAACAUUUGAUGCCCGGAUGCCACACGCUCGCUGCUGCACGUGCGGCACCACUCCGUGGCUACUACUGCACACAUGCAACAACUAUAUAUAUGGUGUGCGGGACAGGGGAACUUAGCUUCACCAGUGGCCGCUACCCAGCGAAACCCUGCCUUCCUCGGUACUUUGGGCCAUCCUCAUCUAGUCACCUUGCCGACUUCUCAGUGGAUCGCUCAGGAUCAGCACCCAUUACCAUCAGACCGGCAUCUAACGGAACCUACCGGAUCAAUGGCGGCUAAUCUUCGUUCCUGCUCAGCUCGCAGGACUAUUUUAUCCCAGGUCACUACCGUCCCUCAACUAGGGUCACUUUCACCUCCUACUGGCACCAUCAGAAGGACCUUUCAACCCUGAUAGGCCCCGGUCCCGAAAACUCCCAGCCGAUCCCAUGUAUCGACGUAUCCUGCGACGCUUCUGAAAGCAGACUGAUUCCAAUUCCGGCUUGACUGCUGCCAUCUAUCUGAUUGUGUGCGGCGUAUUAUACCAAUUGUCCAGUACAGCCGUCUAGCCCGUUGCUAGUGUGCGUUCAUUGUUGUUAGCUGGUCUGGACGUGCAUGCCGACCGACUAGCUGCCAUGCUGCUGUCUGUCAUUACCCAAAUGCCACUCCAGGCCGACGACUGUGAAUUCAUACGCCCAACCAGAAGCUGCCAAUUCGGCUACCGGGACACAGAUGUCUUAGCCUUAGCCAGUACAGCAGCUAGACUCUACACAAACAAAAAGGGUGGUCCUCGAUUCCGUCUGUUAGACGUGUCAUCGUUUGUAGAUCGUGCAGUAGUGAUAGAGACGGUUUCUAUUGUAGUACCCGAGGCAUAUCACCGUGUUUGCAUCUGCCGAUAAGUAUUUUUCUGAAGUGAUAUAACUGAAGGUUUUCUGAGUGCAACGCUAGAAAACCAAGGUUUUCUGUGAACUCAGAGGAGUUGUGCCCUCGUAAGGGCGUUGGUACGGCACUUGGUGCCAGUUAAGGAGUUCGCGAGUGCUUGGAGGACUGAUUUUCGGGUUUUGUAGCUACAUAGGGUGGUUGCCGUGAGGCUGUAGGCGUCAAGGCCGUAGCGAUAGCCUUCGCGGUAGCCGGCCCUCACCCGGCCUACCUACCGAUUGAAGACGGCUGUUUACUGCUUGCAGGUACCCGUAGUGUGUAACGAACGAUGAUUUCUCAUGAAAACACCUAUCUAAUAUACCAGGGGCACAAUCGAUUUGUGUCUCAUGAAGCAUACUAACACAUUCGCCGCAUACUGAAUGGAGCCGAGGCCAUGAGGAAUAAGGUCGUCGAGCUCACCUGUGAAUCUCGGCGGCGGUGGGGGAGGGGGAGUAGGCGGCGGUGGGGGAGGACCUGCAAACGCCCUGGGGCAGAUAGUGACGGGCGCGCUGCCCGCAAAGUCUCCAGUGCAAUUCCUAGUUGUGAGCAGCGCAUAGCGGUUGCCCAGCUUGUUGACACAGGUCAGGUCCAGCCGUCCAUCGCCAUCGCAAUCGAGGACCCUAAACAGGUCCUCCAUUUCAACGCUCACGCACCAACCGUCAGGCGGUGUGCAACCUUUCCAAGCACGCAGCCAAUGUGUAUGGAGGGAAACGAAAAGGUGUACGGCAGGAGUGGGGAUGGGAUUAGUUGGUUAGUCAGGCGGCAACCACUUGCCGCCCAUUCAUAGCAGUGCGUGUGCAGGUGAAGUAAGGAAACCCUCCCACUGCAUCCAACAUAAGUCCCGUUGCAUUGGCUGGUACACAGUACGGCAGACAUAAUAACUACAAAUACGCGUGAAACGCUUGACCAGCAUCUCGGGAGGCCUUUUCAGUGGCCAGCUGGCCAGCUACUACACCCGCCACCUGAAUGAUUUUUACCAUAUAUUAUUUGUGUCCUGGUAUAUUACACAGGACCCGACCCUAGCUCUUAUACUAGGGCACUGUGUUUUAAAGAUUUAAACCAGUACACAUGCACGGCGGCAUGCCGCAUGCAGUUGCACGACAAUAUUACAACAUACACAGCAUGUCCGCUCAGACAGAAGAGUGCUCCAUAAAUGCUCCAAUUCUUAAAGCCCGGGCUUCGGCGACCAGGGCUGAGCUCACCUGUGAACGUUGGUGGAGGUGGUGGUGAAGGUGGCGGUGGUGGUGGAACUGCAAAGACUCUAGGGCAAACAUUGGCCGGCGCACUGCCCGCAAAGUCUCCAGUGCAAUUCCUAGUUGUAAGCAGCGCAUAGCGGUUGCCCAGCUUGUUGACACAGGUCAGGUCCAGCAGUCCAUCGCCAUCGCAAUCGAGGACCCUAAAGACGUCCUCCAUUUCAACGCUCACGCACCAACCGUCAGGUGG
rnacentral:lncRNA from 1 species